rnacentral:rRNA from 1 species
UACGUGGGAGGCAAGCGUUGUCCGGAAUUACUGGGCGUAAAGAGCGCGUAGGCGGCACCGCACGACGGCCGUGAAAGCCCCCGGCUCAACCGGGGAGGGUCGGUCGUAACGGCGGUGCUUGAGUAUGGGAGAGGGAAGUGGAACUCCGGGAGUAGCGGUGAAAUGCGUAGAGACCCGGAGGAACACCAGUGGCGAAGGCGGCUUCCUGGCCUGUUACUGACGCUGUGGCGCGAAAGCUGGGGGAGCGAACGG